ACUCAAAGGAAUAGACGGGGGCUCACACAAGCGGUGGAGCAUGUGGCUCAAUUCGAAGCAACGCGCAGAACCUUACCUGGGUUUGACAUACAUGGAUUAGCUGGUGGAAACAUUAGUGAGGCCCGCAAGGGUACAACAUGAACAGGUGCUGCAUGGCUGUCGUCAGCUCGUGCUGUGAAGCGUCGGGUUAAGUCCCUUAACGAGCGCAACCCCUGUCGUUAGUUACUAACAGGUAAUGCUGAGGACUCUAGCGAGACUGCCGGUGUCAAACCGGAGGAAGGCGGGGAUGACGUCAAGUCCUCAUGGCCCUUACAUCCAGGGUUGCACACGUGCUACAAUGGUGCGUACAAAGCGAUGCAAGACCGCGAGGUGGAGCAAAUCGCAAAAAACGCACCCCAGUUCGGAUUGCAGGCUGAAACCCGCCUGCAUGAAGCCGGAAUCGCUAGUAAUCGGGGAUCAGCUACGCCCCGGUGAAUGUGUUCCUGAGCCUUGCACACACCGCCCGU
rnacentral:rRNA from 1 species